rnacentral:sRNA from 1 species
GUAGCGGAGGCGUUUGCGCAUCUACCGACUCAUUUCUGAGCUCAUCAUCGUUAUGUAUUUCAAUUGUCGUCUGUGUUGGAGUUUAUCUGGAAUAGAACCAAGUCGGCAGAGUCGGUAAGAAAUCCUGAGGGAGCCUAGAGACUGACAUCUCUGCUUGAGCCUGACCGGCAUGCACGAGGGUUCAUCUUUAGAUCACUUUCCGCGGCCAUAUCUACCUGGUAGGUAUAUCGAGGCAGUCCCGUCGAAAGAAUCACGAAAAGUCUGCUGCAGAGGGGAGUGUGCCAUGGUAGUUGGUAUUAUUCUGACUUCUGCCAGACAAUUGAUUCUCAUCAUUUGAUAAAAUCUCCGCUAAAAUUCUGUCAAAAUCAUUCCAUGAAGUUUGAUAUAUAUAUAAGUCAAAGUGUUGAGUUCCAGACGGAGACGAAAUUGGAGAGGAGGGACAACAAACAGAGACGGACAAGGAGAACCAUGAUUAAC